AGUAAAUUGGUUAAGUUAGAAAGGGCGCACGGUGGAUGCCUUGGCACUAGGAGCCGAAGAAGGACGGGACUAACACCGAUAUGCUUUGGGGAGCUGUACGUAAGCGUUGAUCCAGAGAUUUCCGAAUGGGGGAACCCACUAUCUUUAGUCGGAUAGUAUCCUUACGUGAAUACAUAGCGUGAGGAAGGCAGACCCAGGGAACUGAAACAUCUAAGUACCUGGAGGAAGAGAAAGAAAAAUCGAUUUCCUGAGUAGCGGCGAGCGAAACGGAAAGAGCCCAAACCAAGAAGCUUGCUUCUUGGGGUUGUAGGACACUCUAUACGGAGUUACAAAAGAAAGUUA
rnacentral:rRNA from 1 species